rnacentral:rRNA from 1 species
GACGAACGCUGGCGGCGUGCUUAACACAUGCAAGUCGAACGGAAAGGCCCUGCUUUUGUGGGGUGCUCGAGUGGCGAACGGGUGAGUAACACGUGAGUAACCUGCCCUUGACUUUGGGAUAACUUCAGGAAACUGGGGCUAAUACCGGAUAGGAGCUCCUGCUGCAUGGUGGGGGUUGGAAAGUUUCGGCGGUUGGGGAUGGACUCGCGGCUUAUCAGCUUGUUGGUGGGGGAGUGGCUUACCAAGGCUUUGACGGGUAGCCGGCCUGAGAGGGUGACCGGCCACAUUGGGACUGAGAUACGGCCCAGACUCCUACGGGAGGCAGCAGUGGAGAAUAUUGCACAAUGGGCGGAAGCCUGAUGCAGCAACGCCGCGUGCGGGAUGACGGCCUUCUGGUUGUAAACCGCUGUCGCCUGUGACGAAGCGUGAGUGACGGUAAUGGGUAAAGAAGCACCGGCUAACUACGUG